UGCUGCAUACAGACUCGCUCUGAGUGAAUGGGAUUCUAGUGACUGACCUGCCACUGUAGAAGAGUAUGAUGAAAGAGGCUUAGUGACUUGCUGGAGGGGCUGAAGGACAGAGAAGCAAAUGGAGAUGUAUGCUGUGUCAUUGGAAGAGAAAUUCAUAGCUAACCACUACUAUUGCUGAGUUCUAAGAGGUGAAGAAGCAGGUGCUUUUUAAAGCAACCUUCAAGAGGGAAAGAUGAAAUAAAGGAUUCCUGCAAUAGGACUUUGAUUCAGAUGACUUCUCCAGCCCUUGGCAAUUAUAAGAUCCCAUAAUUUCUCUGAGUGUGUGUUUGAAUGUGUAAAUGCUGUUCAUUAAAUGUUUUAAAAGUUU